AUGCAAGUCGAACGCGAAAGGGGAGCAAUCCCUGAGUAGAGUGGCGAACGGGUGAGUAACACGUGGGUGACCUGCCUUCGAGUGGGGGAUAACGUCCCGAAAGGGACGCUAAUACCGCAUGACAUCCCGUCUUUGAAGAGAUGGUGAUUAAAGCUGGGGAUCGCAAGACCUGGCGCUUGAAGAGGGGCCCGCGUCCGAUUAGCUAGUUGGUGGGGUAACGGCCUACCAAGGCGACGAUCGGUAGCCGGCCUGAGAGGGCGGACGGCCACACUGGGACUGAGACACGGCCCAGACUCCUACGGGAGGCAGCAGUGGGGAAUUGUUCGCAAUGGGCGCAAGCCUGACGACGCAACGCCGCGUGGAGGAUGAAGAUUUUCGGAUCGUAAACUCCUUUCGAUCGGGACGAAUCGGUCGCGACCUAACACGUCGUGGCACUGACGGUACCGAGAGAAGAAGCCCCGGCUAACUCCGUGCCAGCAGCCGCGGUAAUACGGGGGGGGCUAGCGUUGUUCGGAAUUACUGGGCGUAAAGGGCGCGUAGGCGGCCUACUAAGUCGGACGUGAAAUCCCUCGGCUCAACCGGGGAACUGCGUCCGAUACUGGUGGGCUUGAAUCCGGGAGAGG
rnacentral:rRNA from 1 species